rnacentral:rRNA from 1 species
CCUACGGGGGGCAGCAGUGAGGAAUAUUGGUCAAUGGGCGCGAGCCUGAACCAGCCAAGUCGCGUGAGGGAGGACGGCCCUACGGGUUGUAAACCUCUUUUGCCGGGGAGCAACGGGCGUCACGCGUGGCGCCACUGAGAGUACCCGGAGAAAAAGCAUCGGCUAACUCCGUGCCAGCAGCCGCGGUAAUACGGAGUGUGCGAGCGUUAUCCGGUUUUAUUGGGGUUAAAGGGUGCGUAGGCGGAGCGUUAAGUCAGUGGGCAAAUCGAGGGGCUCAACCCCUUCCCGCCAUUGAAACUGGCGUUCUUGAGUGGAAGAGAGGUAUGCGGAAUGCGUGGUGUAGCGGUGAAAUGCAUAGAUAUCACGCAGAACCCCGAUUGCGAAGGCAGCAUGCCGGCUUCCGACUGACGCUGAAGCACGAAAGCGUGGGGAGCGAACAGGAUUAGAUACCCGGGUAGUC